rnacentral:rRNA from 1 species
GACGAACGCUGGCGGCGUGCUUAACACAUGCAAGUCGAACGGAGUGCCCUUGAAAGAGGUUUCGGCCAAUGGAAGGGGUUACUUAGUGGCGGACUGGUGAGUAACGCGUGAGGAACCUGCCUUUCAGAGGGGGACAACAGCUGGAAACGGCUGCUAAUACCGCAUGACACAUUUAAGCGGCAUCGCUUGGAUGUCAAAGAUUUAUCGCUGGAAGAUGGCCUCGCGUCUGAUUAGAUAGUUGGUGGGGUAACGGCCUACCAAGUCGACGAUCAGUAGCCGGACUGAGAGGUUGAACGGCCACAUUGGGACUGAGACACGGCCCAGACUCC